UACGGAGGGUGCAAGCGUUGUUCGGAUUUACUGGGCGUAAAGCGCGCGCAGGUGGGUGAACAAGUCGGAAGUGAAAUCUUGAGGCUCAACCUCGAGGCUGCUCCCGAAACUGUUCGCCUAGGGACUGGUAGAGGCUGGUAGAAUUCCCGGUGUAGCGGUGGAAUGCGUAGAGAUCGGGAAGAAUACCUGUGGCGAAGGCGGCCAGCUGGGCCAGAUCCGACACUGAGGCGCGAAGCGUGGGGAGCAAACAGG
rnacentral:rRNA from 1 species